AAAGAAAGUAAGCAAGGGCGCAUGGCGGAUGCCUUGGCUCUCGGAGGCGAUGAAGGACGUGAUAAGCUGCGAUAAGCUCCGGGGAGGUGCAAAUAACCUUUGAUCCGGAGAUUUCCGAAUGGGACAACCCGGUGUUCUGAAGGAACAUCAUCCAUCUUUGAUGGAGGCUAACGCAGGGAACUGAAACAUCUUAGUACCUGCAGGAAAAGAAAAUAAUAAUGAUUCCCCUAGUAGUGGCGAGCGAACGGGGAUUAGCCCAAACCAAUGUUGUUACGGCAAUAUUGGGGUUGUAGGACCACGAUGUCGCAAGAAAUUUAGUGAGAAGAACCCUUUGGAAAAUUGGACCAUAGACGGUGAUAGUCCUGUAUUCGAAGCUAAACGAAGCGUAGUGGUAUCCUGAGUAGCGCGGGACACGAGGAAUCUUGCGUGAAUCUGCCGGGACCAUCCGGUAAGGCUAAAUACUCCCGAGAGACCGAUAGCGAACCAGUACUGUGAAGGAAAGGUGAAAAGCACUUCGAACAGAAGAGUGAAAUAGUCCCUGAAACCGUGCGCCUACAAGCGGUCGGAGCUUCGUAAGAAGUGACGGCGUGCCUUUUGCAUAAUGAACCUACGAGUUACUUUUUCCGGCAAGGUUAAGCAUCUUGAGAUGCGCAGCCGAAGCGAAAGCGAGUCUGAACAGGGCGCCCAGUCGGAAGGAGUAGACGCGAAACCAAGUGAUCUACCCUUGGUCAGGUUGAAGGUUAGGUAACACUAACUGGAGGACCGAACCGAUAAGCGUUGAAAAGCUUCCGGAUGAACUGAGGGUGGGGGUGAAAGGCUAAUCAAACUUGGAGAUAGCUCGUACUCCCCGAAAUGCAUUUAGGUGCAGCCUCGGGAAUUACUACUGUGAGGUAGAGCGACUGAUAAGAUGCGAGGGCUUCACCGCCUAUCAAGUCUUGAUAAACUCCGAAUGCGCAGUAGUCCUAUCCCGGGAGUGAGGGCAUGGGUGCUAAGGUCCAUGUCCUAAAGGAGAAGAAUCCGGACCAUCAGCUAAGGUCCCGAAAUAAUUGCUAAGUUGAACUAACGAAGUCAGAUUGCUAAGACAGCUAGGAUGUUGGCUUGGAAGCAGCCAUUCAUUUAAAGAGUGCGUAACAGCUCACUAGUCGAGGAGUUUGGCGUGGAUAAUAAUCGGGCAUGAAGCAAUUUACCGAAGCUAUGGGAUGUGCAAACAUCGGUAGGGGAGCAUUCCACUCCGCGUCGAAGGUGAAGCGUGAGCUUUGCUGGAGCGUGUGGAAAAGCAAAUGUAGGUAUAAGUAACGAUAAAGGGGGUGGGAAACCCCCUCGCCGAAAGACUAAGGUUUCCUGAUCAACGCUAAUCGGAUCAGGGUUAGUCGGGUCCUAAGGCUCAGCCGAACGGUGAGGCCGAUGGCAGAACAGGUUAAUAUUCCUGUACUACCUUUCAGAGUGACGUGGAGACGGAGCAGUGACAGCGCCGCGGACUGACGGAAUAGUCCGUUGAAGGGUGUAGAU
rnacentral:rRNA from 1 species